rnacentral:tRNA from 1 species
AAGAUUUUAAGUUAAAUAAACUAUUAAUUUUCAAAAUUAAAAAUAAAUCAUUUUUAAAUCUUA